rnacentral:lncRNA from 1 species
AAUCAACACCACCCACUUCUUUAUUUCGAAGUAGCAUCACAUUCUCAACUUCCUCCUCCAUAAACCCUCCUAUUGAAGAAGCAAAGACUUCAUCGUCCACGUCCAGAAGGAAUUCACUUAUUUUAGAACAGUUCAAGCAGAUAAAACUCAAGGGUCCCCUAAAGACUCAUAGGGUACCCCUCAAGUGGGUUCAACUUCAGUU